rnacentral:rRNA from 1 species
UACAGAGGGUGCGAACGUUGCUCGGAGUUACUGGGCGUAAAGCGCGUGUAGGCGGUGCCGCACGUCCGAUGUGAAAGCCCGGGGCUCAACCCCGGAAGUGCAUUGGAUACGACGGCGCUGGAGUCCUGAAGAGGAGGGCGGAAUUCCCGGUGUAGAGGUGAAAUUCGUAGAUAUCGGGAGGAACACCAGUGGCGAAGGCGGCUCUCUGGACAGGUACUGACGCUGAGACGCGAAAGCGUGGGUAGCAAACAGG